AAUGUACCUUAGAAAAAGAGCAAGAGCAAUGGCGAAGAAGACGUCAUCAAGUGAUGCUCUUCUCUUGCCUCUGCUUCUUCUGUUUCUCUGUCUUUCCUCUAACGUUGGAGUCGUCGAGGCCAAAACCCGCAAACUAGGAGGCAUAUGGACAGGACCCUCCACAUCAUGGCCCGGCGGAGGAAGAAACCCAAACCCCUCCGAAAGUACGGCGAAGAAACAACCGCCGUCCGCCAAGAACUCGGGAGCUGCAAGCUACAAAAACGUACUCCCUUGAUUGAUGACGGAGGAAUAGAAUUAAUCAAUGCAUAAAUAGUGUUGUUUCUGCUGUUCCUGCCUGCAAAGGACUGUUUCCUGUGUAUGUUAAAAUAAUUUCCUCCUGCAUGGUGUUAUUUAAUGGAUAAAUUUCGUCGACAUUGAUAUUUUGAUCAAUCCUGGGUUUGAUCAGUGUCCUUGCAUGCAGACUGCACGUGUCUGAUUAAGCCUCACACGAUCGGCUUCAUUCCCCAACUCCUUAAUCACGUCAAUUUCCACUAUUUAGCCUAGUGUACAGCCUCUCGUAAUCAUUGGUGUUACACUAUAUAUGGAUGUUUUUGUAUAAAAUUACUAUAUGAGAGAGAGACGUUACUGCAAACUUAUAAAAUAUCUUAGACCAUAAUAGUGUACCAUAUCGAAGCUUUCGUCUCAGUCGAUAAACGGCGAAAAGUCUCAAGUCUAUGCAAUACGUACAAAUUGCGUCCAACAUUUAUUGCUAAUUUAAUGGUCGAAAUUGAAUGUAGCUGGUGUGGCUGCUGCUACACUUUCUCUCUCUCUAUCUAUAUAUAUAUAUGUAUGUGUGUGUGUGUGUAUGGUAGAAAGAGCAGCAAGACCAACGUGUAAACAUUGAAGACUAAUGGCGAGGAAGACAUCAUCAAACGCUGCUCUUCUCUUACCUCUGAUGCUUCUCCUUCUAUGUCUUUCGCCUCAUGUUGGAAUCGUGGAGGCCAAACACCGAAAACUAGAAACUGCUAUAGGGACAGGACCCUCCGUAUCAGGACAUGGAGGAGGGAGAGUCCAAGGCAGAGCAAAGGCGACGAAGAAACCAGCAACGAUCUCAGAAAACUCGGAAGCCACGCGCUACAAAAAUGGAGUUCCUUGAUCAGUUCCUGUGGAAGAAUCACUGCAUAGAUAUCGUGUUACAUCUAUUAAACUAAUAAGCAAUGGAUGUGUCUCAUGUAUAGGAAUCGAUUAUCUACUGCUUGUUGCUGUUGCUGCUGGUUGUAGAUCUAGUCCUGCCAAUGGACUGUUGCUUGUGUAUGUUAAAUAAAGUUCGAUUUUAAUGUCGUAAUUUCUAUAUUAACUAAAGGAAACGUUGGCAUAACCGGGUCCACCAA